ACUAUCGUUAACUGAAUACAUAGGUUAACGAGGCGAACCGGGGGAACUGAAACAUCUAAGUACCCCGAGGAAAAGAAAUCAACCGAGAUUCCCCCAGUAGCGGCGAGCGAACGGGGAGCAGCCCAGAGUCUGAAUCAGCUUGUGUGUUAGUGGAACGGUCUGGAAAGUCCGACGGUACAGGGUGAUAGUCCCGUACACCAAAAUGCACAGGUUGUGAACUCGAAGAGUAGGGCGGGACACGUGGUAUCCUGUCUGAAUAUGGGGGGACCAUCCUCCAAGGCUAAAUACUCCUGACUGACCGAUAGUGAACCAGUACCGUGAGGGAAAGGCGAAAAGAACCCCGGCGAGGGGAGUGAAAAAGAACCUGAAACCGUGUACGUACAAGCAGUGGGAGCACCUUCGGGUGUGACUGCGUACCUUUUGUAUAAUGGGUCAGCGACUUAUAUUCUGUAGCAAGGUUAACCGUAUAGGGGAGCCGCAGGGAAACCGAGUCUUAACUGGGCGUUAAGUUGCAGGGUAUAGACCCGAAACCCGGUGAUCUAGCCAUGGGCAGGUUGAAGGUUGGGUAACACUAACUGGAGGACCGAACCGACUAAUGUUGAAAAAUUAGCGGAUGACUUGUGGCUGGGGGUGAAAGGCCAAUCAAACCGGGAGAUAGCUGGUUCUCCCCGAAAGCUAUUUAGGUAGCGCCUCGUGAAUUCAUCUUCGGGGGUAGAGCACUGUUUCGGCUAGGGGGUCAUCCCGACUUACCAACCCGAUGCAAACUACGAAUACCGAAGAAUGUUAUCACGGGAGACACACGGCGGGUGCUAACGUCCGUCGUGAAGAGGGAAACAACCCAGACCGCCAGCUAAGGUCCCAAAGUCAUGGUUAAGUGGGAAACGAUGUGGGAAGGCACAGACAGCCAGGAUGUUGGCUUAGAAGCAGCCAUCAUUUAAAGAAAGCGUAAUAGCUCACUGGUCGAGUCGGCCUGCGCGGAAGAUGUAACGGGGCUAAACCAUGCACCGAAGCUGCGGCAGCGACACUAUGUGUUGUUGGGUAGGGGAGCGUUCUGUAAGCCUGCGAAGGUGUGCUGUGAGGCAUGCUGGAGGUAUCAGAAGUGCGAAUGCUGACAUAAGUAACGAUAAAGCGGGUGAAAAGCCCGCUCGCCGGAAGACCAAGGGUUCCUGUCCAACGUUAAUCGGGGCAGGGUGAGUCGACCCCUAAGGCGAGGCCGAAAGGCGUAGUCGAUGGGAAACAGGUUAAUAUUCCUGUACUUGGUGUUACUGCGAAGGGGGGACGGAGAAGGCUAUGUUAGCCGGGCGACGGUUGUCCCGGUUUAAGCAUGUAGGCUGAUUGUCCAGGCAAAUCCGGAUAAUCAAGGCUGAGGUGUGAUGACGAGGCACUACGGUGCUGAAGUAACAAAUGCCCUGCUUCCAGGAAAAGCCUCUAAGCAUCAGGUAACAUCAAAUCGUACCCCAAACCGACACAGGUGGUCAGGUAGAGAAUACCAAGGCGCUUGAGAGAACUCGGGUGAAGGAACUAGGCAAAAUGGUGCCGUAACUUCGGGAGAAGGCACGCUGGUGUGUAGGUGAAGUCCCUGCGGAUGGAGCUGAGACCAGUCGAAGAUACCAGCUGGCUGCAACUGUUUAUUAAAAACACAGCACUGUGCAAACACGAAAGUGGACGUAUACGGUGUGACGCCUGCCCGGUGCCGGAAGGUUAAUUGAUGGGGUUAUCCGUAAGGAGAAGCUCUUGAUCGAAGCCCCGGUAAACGGCGGCCGUAACUAUAACGGUCCUAAGGUAGCGAAAUUCCUUGUCGGGUAAGUUCCGACCUGCACGAAUGGCGUAAUGAUGGCCAGGCUGUCUCCACCCGAGACUCAGUGAAAUUGAACUCGCUGUGAAGAUGCAGUGUACCCGCGGCAAGACGGAAAGACCCCGUGAACCUUUACUAUAGCUUGACACUGAACAUUGAGCCUUGAUGUGUAGGAUAGGUGGGAGGCUUUGAAGCGUGGACGCCAGUCUGCGUGGAGCCAACCUUGAAAUACCACCCUUUAAUGUUUGAUGUUCUAACGUUGGCCCCUUACCGGGGUUGCGGACAGUGUCUGGUGGGUAGUUUGACUGGGGCGGUCUCCUCCCAAAGCGUAACGGAGGAGCACGAAGGUUAGCUAAUCCUGGUCGGACAUCAGGAGGUUAGUGCAAUGGCAUAAGCUAGCUUGACUGCGAGCGUGACGGCGCGAGCAGGUGCGAAAGCAGGUCAUAGUGAUCCGGUGGUUCUGAAUGGAAGGGCCAUCGCUCAACGGAUAAAAGGUACUCCGGGGAUAACAGGCUGAUACCGCCCAAGAGUUCAUAUCGACGGCGGUGUUUGGCACCUCGAUGUCGGCUCAUCACAUCCUGGGGCUGAAGUAGGUCCCAAGGGUAUGGCUGUUCGCCAUUUAAAGUGGUACGCGAGCUGGGUUUAGAACGUCGUGAGACAGUUCGGUCCCUAUCUGCCGUGGGCGCUGGAGAAUUGAGGGGGGCUGCUCCUAGUACGAGAGGACCGGAGUGGACGCAUCACUGGUGUUCGGGUUGUCAUGCCAAUGGCACUGCCCGGUAGCUAAAUGCGGAAGAGAUAAGUGCUGAAAGCAUCUAAGCACGAAACUUGCCCCGAGAUGAGUUCU
rnacentral:rRNA from 2 species